AGGGCGCACGGUGGAUGCCUUGACACUAGGAGUCGAUGAAGGACGGGACUAACGCCGAUAUGCUUCGGGGAGCUGUAAGUAAGCUUUGAUCCGAAGAUUUCCGAAUGGGGAAACCCACCAUACGUAAUGGUAUGGUAUCCUUAUCUGAAUACAUAGGGUAAGGAAGACAGACCCAGGGAACUGAAACAUCUAAGUACCUGGAGGAAGAGAAAGCAAAUGCGAUUUCCUGAGUAGCGGCGAGCGAAACGGAACAUAGCCCAAACCAAGAGGCUUGCCUCUUGGGGUUGUAGGACAUUCUAUACGGAGUUACAAAGGAACGAGGUAGACGAAGCGACCUGGAAAGGUCCGUCGUAGAGGGUAACAACCCCGUAGUCGAAACUUCGUUCUCUCUUGAAUGUAUCCUGAGUACGGCGGAACACGUGAAAUUCCGUCGGAAUCUGGGAGGACCAUCUCCCAAGGCUAAAUACUCCCUAGUGAUCGAUAGUGAACCAGUACCGUGAGGGAAAGGUGAAAAGCACCCCGGAAGGGGAGUGAAAGAGAUCCUGAAACCGUGUGCCUACAAAUAGUCAGAGCCCGUUAACGGGUGAUGGCGUGCCUUUUGUAGAAUGAACCGGCGAGUUACGAUCCCGUGCGAGGUUAAGCUGAAGAGGCGGAGCCGCAGCGAAAGCGAGUCUGAAUAGGGCGUUUAGUACGUGGUCGUAGACCCGAAACCAGGUGAUCUACCCAUGUCCAGGGUGAAGUUCAGGUAACACUGAAUGGAGGCCCGAACCCACGCACGUUGAAAAGUGCGGGGAUGAGGUGUGGGUAGCGGAGAAAUUCCAAUCGAACCUGGAGAUAGCUGGUUCUCCCCGAAAUAGCUUUAGGGCUAGCCUUAAGUGUAAGAGUCUUGGAGGUAGAGCACUGAUUGGACUAGGGGUCCUCAUCGGAUUACCGAAUUCAGUCAAACUCCGAAUGCCAAUGACUUAUCCUUAGGAGUCAGACUGCGAGUGAUAAGAUCCGUAGUCAAAAGGGAAACAGCCCAGACCGCCAGCUAAGGUCCCAAAGUGUGUAUUAAGUGGAAAAGGAUGUGGAGUUGCUUAGACAACUAGGAUGUUGGCUUAGAAGCAGCCACCAUUUAAAGAGUGCGUAAUAGCUCACUAGUCGAGUGACUCUGCGCCGAAAAUGUACCGGGGCUAAAUACACCACCGAAGCUGCGGAUUGAUACCGAAUGGUAUCAGUGGUAGGGGAGCGUUCUAAGGACAGUGAAGUCAGACCGUAAGGACUGGUGGAGUGCUUAGAAGUGAGAAUGCCGGUAUGAGUAGCGAAAGACGGGUGAGAAUCCCGUCCACCGAAUGCCUAAGGUUUCCUGAGGAAGGCUCGUCCGCUCAGGGUUAGUCAGGACCUAAGCCGAGGCCGACAGGCGUAGGCGAUGGACAACAGGUUGAUAUUCCUGUACCACCUCUUUAUCGUUUGAGCAAUGGAGGGACGCAGAAGGAUAGAAGAAGCGUGCGAUUGGUUGUGCACGUCCAAGCAGUUAGGCUGAUAAGUAGGCAAAUCCGCUUAUCGUGAAGGCUGAGCUGUGAUGGGGAAGCUCCUUAUGGAGCGAAGUCUUUGAUUCCCCGCUGCCAAGAAAAGCUUCUAGCGAGAUAAAAGGUGCCUGUACCGCAAACCGACACAGGUAGGCGAGGAGAGAAUCCUAAGGUGUGCGAGAGAACUCUGGUUAAGGAACUCGGCAAAAUGACCCCGUAACUUCGGGAGAAGGGGUGCUUUCUUAACGGAAAGCCGCAGUGAAUAGGCCCAAGCGACUGUUUAGCAAAAACACAGCUCUCUGCGAAGCCGUAAGGCGAAGUAUAGGGGGUGACACCUGCCCGGUGCUGGAAGGUUAAGGAGAGGGGUUAGCGUAAGCGAAGCUCUGAACUGAAGCCCCAGUAAACGGCGGCCGUAACUAUAACGGUCCUAAGGUAGCGAAAUUCCUUGUCGGGUAAGUUCCGACCCGCACGAAAGGUGUAACGAUUUGGGCACUGUCUCAACCAGAGACUCGGUGAAAUUAUAGUACCUGUGAAGAUGCAGGUUACCCGCGACAGGACGGAAAGACCCCGUGGAGCUUUACUGUAGCCUGAUAUUGAAUUUUGGUACAGUUUGUACAGGAUAGGCGGGAGCCAUUGAAACCGGAGCGCUAGCUUCGGUGGAGGCGCUGGUGGGAUACCGCCCUGACUGUAUUGAAAUUCUAACCUACGGGUCUUAUCGACCCGGGAGACAGUGUCAGGUGGGCAGUUUGACUGGGGCGGUCGCCUCCUAAAGUGUAACGGAGGCGCCCAAAGGUUCCCUCAGAAUGGUUGGAAAUCAUUCGUAGAGUGCAAAGGCAUAAGGGAGCUUGACUGCGAGACCUACAAGUCGAGCAGGGACGAAAGUCGGGCUUAGUGAUCCGGUGGUUCCGCAUGGAAGGGCCAUCGCUCAACGGAUAAAAGCUACCCCGGGGAUAACAGGCUUAUCUCCCCCAAGAGUCCACAUCGACGGGGAGGUUUGGCACCUCGAUGUCGGCUCAUCGCAUCCUGGGGCUGUAGUCGGUCCCAAGGGUUGGGCUGUUCGCCCAUUAAAGCGGUACGCGAGCUGGGUUCAGAACGUCGUGAGACAGUUCGGUCCCUAUCCGUCGUGGGCGUAGGAAAUUUGAGAGGAGCUGUCCUUAGUACGAGAGGACCGGGAUGGACGCACCGCUGGUGUACCAGUUGUUCUGCCAAGGGCAUAGCUGGGUAGCUAUGUGCGGAAGGGAUAAGUGCUGAAAGCAUCUAAGCAUGAAGCCCCCCUCAAGAUGAGAUUUCCCAUAGCGUAAGCUAGU
rnacentral:rRNA from 1 species